GACGUUGAGGGACGAAGGCUUGGCGAGCAAAUAGGAUUAGAUACCCUAGUAGUCCAGGCAGAAAAUUAUGAAUGUUAUAGACUGAAUAUAAAGUUGGUGUAUAAAUGAAAGUGUAAGCAUUCCACCUCAAGAGUAAUGUGGCAACACAGGAACUGAAAUCAUUAGACCGUUUCUGAAACCAGUAGUGAAGUAUGUUAUUUAAUUCGAUGACCCUCGAAAAACCUUACCACAAUUUGAAUAGUGUUUGUUGUAAAUCCUUUAUAAGGGAAUAAAUGCCCGGUCGGAGGUAUCAAAUAUUACAAGCGUUGCACGGCUGUCUUCAGUUAAUGUCGUGAGAUUUUGGUUAGAUCCAUUAAAUUAACGUAAACCCUUGCUCCACAGCUACUUAUUGCAAAAAUCUAUCUAUUGAUAAGAUUCCAGCAAAAGUUAUCGCAAUUUGUGAAGCA
rnacentral:rRNA from 2 species